rnacentral:rRNA from 1 species
UACAGAGGGUGCGAGCGUUGUUCGGAAUUAUUGGGCGUAAAGGGCGCGUAGGCGGUGCGGUAAGUCCGCUGUGAAAUCUCCUGGCUCAACUGGGAGCUUGCAGGCGAAACUGCCGUGCUGGAGUGUGGGAGAGGUGCGUGGAAUUCCUGGUGUAGCGGUGAAAUGCGUAGAUAUCAGGAGGAACACCUGUGGCGAAAGCGGCGCACUGGACCACAACUGACGCUGAGGCGCGAAAGCUAGGGGAGCAAACAGG